UUAGAAUGUGAGGGUACACUUCCUCUGGAUAAAAUGACAGCACAGCUGUGGGGACCCAGGGAGUUGAACACCACACCCCCAAAUCUUCAGCCACCUUCUCCAGGGGUGUCCUCCCAGUCCCUGCCUGGAGUGACUUCCCUGGGGGCGAGGAGUGUUCCAGGUAAUAAUGAGUCACAGCGCACUCUGUGAUUGGGGGUGCUGUGGGAUGGGGGAUGAGUCCCCCAGUAAAGGGAAAUAGAGAUGGGAGAAAUAGUAAGCUUCCAGCAGCCCAUGUUCGUUUGAGUGGUAAAACACCACUUUAAGGAAAAACUGCAUUUUCUCUUCCAAAAAGAAAAGGCUCCUCCAGGAGAGAGGCCUGUGGCCUAGAACUCCAGCUCGGAGAAGAGACGGCCGGCUCACCAGGAAGACAUGCGGCCGCUGCCAGACCCAUGCUCUCUGCUCACCAUCUCGUCACGGAGCCCACCCCCGCCUCCUGUUCACUCGCGUUCCUGUCCAGCUGCGUGUCUGGAUGUCUCCCUGUGACAGUUCUUUCUGCUUUCAGCCAAGGCAGAAACAGUCGGAGGCUGGUGGGGACUUACCUGCAAAUCUGCACAGCUGAUCACCGUCUCCUCUUCCAGACCUUACUGUGUGUGUGAAUUACAGACCUUCUGUAACGGGCUGUAGGAUUUCAUCAUUUAACUGACAGUCAUGAGCUCUUUUUCUUCCCACACCCCCCAUGAACUAUUUCGGUUAUUCCUAGGAGCGGGCAAUUCCGACCUAGAAACAAACUUCCGGAGGAAAACCACCCUUGUGGAGACAAGGUCAGGUCAAGGGCCUGGCGAGGCAGGUAACGCGCGCUCCAUCUCACCUGUUAUGCAUCACGCUGUUAUGCGCUGCGUGUAAAGCGCUGUGACCGGCUGGGCCUGGAAAGAGACUGGACGGGGACGGACAAGGACCACACGCGGGGCUUUGAGCUCAGGAACACCCGUCGCAGCCAGGAUUCGCAUUUAUAUCUCUCUCUGCAUUUUUCUAAUCCCUCUCGCUAAUUAAGCAUUAUGAAUCUAUUUCCAACUGGAAAAGCGAGCCCCAGGAAAGUGUGGGUGCUGACAGUUCACACCUCAUCAGACUCAGGUAUCCUGGGGCAGCAGGACCCCGGUUCCUUCUGAGGAGAUGGGAGUGUUUCGGGGAGCCAUCUGGGGCAAGAGCAGAGUGGAAGUGGGGGGAAAGGGCCCUCGCUGGAGCACACAGGAGCCGCCCCCCUGAUUUUCCACAUCCGCAAAGACCUUCCCUUCACACCUGAAUUUCAGUCCGAGCGUUCCAUCUCCGGCUCUGCCUCCCGAUCACUGCUGUACCCUGAAGCACACCCGAACCCCGACCCGGCGUACAGUUCCUUCCUCAGGACCACUAACGGGCCUCGCCACAGGCCCGCCGAUGACUCCCAGUGAGCAAACCCAAAGGCCCCGACCGCCCUGUCGCGUGACAAGGCUGACACAACGCAGCCCAGAGGGAGCCUGGCGGAACCCCGGCCGUCCCGUUUGCCGGCUCUGUGAACUCGCGCAAGCGUCUCCAUUUCCCCACCUGGGAAGCGCCUCUCGGUGCUGCAGUGAGAAACGAGUUAGCGUAGAUCAUAACUGAGCACAGUGCCUGGCGAGCAGCAGGCAGGUGCUCAAAUGGUACUCAAUGGUACUCAUCCCCUCCCAGCGGAAAACACCCGUCUCCCAAGGCCCUGCCAGUUGACAGAUGCUGAGGCCGGCCCUCGUCGUCCAUCGUUUCCUCGGGAGAUCUACGUUCAGACCACAUUUCCUAGCCACGUGCUUGAGUCCCCCAGCCCACUGUAAACCAGGUUGCAUUGCUCUCCUUCAGCCUCGCGGGCUGCCUUUCGGGGCCUCAACUACGCCCACCUGUUUCCUACCUCAGGACCUUUGCACGUACUGUUCUUGCUGCCUGAAACGCUCUCUCCUACUUACCCUCCAGGUCUCGUCUUGAGUAUCACCCCCUCGGGGACGCCUUUCCCAACCACCUGCCUACAGCAGGCUCCCCUCGCAUUUUCUCUGCAGCACUUACCACAGAGGGCAGUUACGGGAGGAAACUGUAACCCCUGCGCCUAGCACGCCGGCCGGCACGCAGAGAGCGUGGAAUAAACAGUCCUUAAGUUGACGAGCCCGGCCGGCCAGUGUUCCGAAGGCGGGCGGGCGUGCUGUCUGGCGGGGGAGGCUUUCUGCACCCCAAGACGUGUGAGUCUGGCUCCGCUAAGGGCUGCGUCCUUCCCUCAAAAACCUUCUCAACGUGCAGCCGAGGCGCCAUGAAAACGGCAGGUGCUCAGUGAUGGGGUUCAGGGCACACCACCCCGAAUGACGGUCCCUUGGCACACUCACUAUCAAGCCGAAGGGGUUUGAGAAAAUGGCAGAACUGGUUCGGUCGCUCCUGCUUCUCCCAUUUUUCCCUCCGAACCUCCGAUGUGAAAGGUGCCCUGGCUGGGCCAGGCGGGAGGCGGGCUCAUCACCGGGACGGGGCGUGCGGGCCCAGAGGGGUCUCAGCGAGGUCACGCCUCCCUCCCACGCUCGCAGCCCGGCCCCGCCGGCUCCGCCCUUCCUGCUCGGAGCUCCUCCGGGCCCCCUGCUCCCGGGAAGGCUCCGCGCGCACGUGGACGCCCGGGGCACGUGUGUGCUGUGCUGUGGGUCUGCGCGCCUGGGUCGCUUCCAGACCCCGCCCGGGGCCCAGAGCGGGGGCCGCUCCCCCCUCCCCGCGGCAGACGCGACUGCGGAUCAGGGCUGAUAAGGGCCGACGCCGGCGGCCGGGACGGCGGCCCGCACGUUCCGUCACCCCGUCCACUCGGCGCGGAGCGGCUGGAGCCCGCGGGCCCCUCGGCGGUCCGGCCUCUCGGCGCCGCUUCUCCACCCGCGGGGGGGCCUCCGGCCACGAGGCGGCGACCUCAGGGGAGCCUCGCGGACAGGCCCAGAGGCGGCCCCCCCCCCCGAGCGCCGCCAAGGCAACCAGGGCAGCCCGGCGCGUGCGCGUGCGCGGCGCCUCCGGAAGUGACGCCCCCGGAAAGGGGUGCAGGGGUCGCGCCAUGGCCCGGGAGGUGGCGGGGCGGCCGCCGGAGGAGACGCUGUCGCUGUGGAAACGGUGCUGUACGAGGACUGCCGCAUGGUUAGCCUCACGGCCCCCUACGUGUCGGGCUUCCUGGCCUUCCGAGAGGUGCCCUUCCUGGUGGACGCCGUGCGACGGCUUCGGGAGAAGGAGCCCCACCUGAUGCCCCAGGUCCUUCUUGUUGAUGGAAAUGGGGUGCUCCACCACCGAGGUUUUGGGGUGGCCUGCCACCUCGGCAUACUCACAGACCUGCCCUGCAUCGGGGUGGCCAAGAAGCUCUUGCAGGUGGAUGGGCUGGAGAACAACGCCCUGCACAAGGAGAAGAUACGCCUCCUGCAGGCUGGAGGAGACACGUUUCCUCUGAUGGGAGGCUCCGGGGCCAUCCUGGGCAUGGCCCUGAAGAGCCACGACCACAGCACCAAGCCCCUCUACGUCUCCGUGGGCCACAAGAUGAGCCUGGAGGCGGCCGUGCGCCUGACCCGAGGCUGCUGCAGGUUUCGGAUCCCGGAGCCGGUGCGCCAGGUGGGUGGGCCGCCAGGCGUGUGGCCAGCGUGUACCACCUGCUCGUCUGUGCUUCCGUCAGGUCAGCUGGGCUCAGGCACCUGCAGGAGAGUCUGGUUGGGCUGCUCUGGGCCCUGGGGAGAGGAGUCCUGGGAGCUUCUUCAGGGGCCCUGCCCUGCCUGGGCCCCAGCGCCCACUGUGCUCCUGCACCUGGUACCAGGGUCACUGGGAGAAACAGCCGUGUCAGCUCACGUGACAGGACAUUGGUGGCCAAUUCCAGGGCCCUGUGUCUGCCUCACCGGCCCCAGGGGGCACCGUCACCCUGCUGCCAUGGCCGCCACCACCUCCUUGGGGCCUGGGCCUUCCCUGCCUGCUGAUGUGCAGGGCCGCCUCCAGGUGGCAGCAGCAACCUGCACAGCGUGUGGCUCGGCCCUUAGCCUCUGGGGUGGCUCCUCAGAGUGGACUCACUAAGUGCCUGCCCGCCUCCCUCUCAGUCCAGGCUCCAUAGGCGAGUGGGUUCCCAAGCAUGUGACGUGUGUGCUGACUCCGCGGGGCAUUGCCCCCUCCGUCCCCACCCACCUGUGUGACCUUGGGGGAGAAGACCUGAGGCCUUUGCCCACGUCCUCAGAGCCUGGGACUGUCGUGCCGGUGCGGGGGGCAGGCCUCUGUCCCCUCCAGGUCUCCUCUCGCCCCUGAGUGUACGGUAGCCGCAUCCGUGCGGUGGAGGGAUGGCCUGUAAAGUGCCUGGAGCACCUUGCAGGCAGGUAGGGGCUGUGUGUCUGGCCCUGGAGGAAAGCCAGCCGAAUCCCUGGGCCUGCACUCCCAAGGGAGCAAAGCAGCCAUCUGUUCCCUGGAGUCCGAGCCCCUGUCACUUCCGGUGACAGGGUGAGUCCGUCUGGCGGCUCUGGCUGGCUGUUGGUCUGCUCUCCCUGUGUCCGCUUUGCUCUCCUAACUCUGCUUCCUGGGGGAGGAUGGGGGAUUUAGUUCCCGUGGGUCCCCCUCCCCAGGCCACUGAGGGGCCCCUUGCUCAAAGGCCUGUCCCCUCCCCCACUCCACCCUCGUGCCAGGCUGGGCCAGGCGCUGCUGGGGAAGGCGGGCGUUGCCUGUCGCCUCUUACACUGUGCCUUCCCCAGAACAUCCUGCUGCCCACGCCUGCCCGCCUGCCCGCUCGCUCUGAAGCAGAAGCAGUCGGGCGGGGUGGGGCGGUGGUUAGCUGUUGUGUCCUGUAGUUAUGCAGCCUGAAGUGGGCCUAAGCCCAUCUGAGCUGGGAUCGGGCCCCCUAAGGCCAGGCCCCCUGGAUGGGAGGCUCAUCACAUGGCAGAGCCCAGUGACAGGGUCUUGGAGGGAGUCCCACUCGGGCCUGAGCCCCUCCCCGGGCUCUGCUCUGCCCCCAGCCUGCCGCCCACAUGGCCCCUGUCAUUCCAGUGCCUUUGCAGAACUUUUCAGACACUACCUGAGACAGGGCCACGGCCGACAUUAGCUGGGAGGUAGACAGUGAUUCAAGAGUGAGGCAGGCGAGCGGGGCUGCACAGACCCUAAGAAGAGGCUUUUCGCGGAGAGACCUCUGGCUUAGGCAGAACUGACUGCGAAGUGUCAGCUGUAAACUGACGGAAGCCAGGCGGCUCCAGCUGAAACGAGGGGCCCCUAGGACCCCCCACCUCAGCCAUUUCCUCAGGCCCUCAGGGGCCCUGCCGUCACGGGGCUGGCCUCCCGUCACACACACCUCGGGGCUGCUGACCCUUGUCCCGAAGGCUGAAGGCUGGGCCUGCGAAGGCCUGAUGCCUUGUGGGCUUUCCCAGGAGGGAGGGAGCCGCGGGUGGGGCCUGUCCUGAGGCCGCCUCGGGACCCCAGCCACCACCCCUUUCUUCAGGCCGACAUCCGCUCUCGAGACUACAUCCGCAGGACCCUGGGAGGCCCCGGGCCCCCCCGCACCAGGGCGGGAGAGGAGCCGGAAGGUGCAGAAACCAGAGG